rnacentral:rRNA from 1 species
AUUGAACGCUGGCGGCAUGCCUUACACAUGCAAGUCGAACGCGAAAGGGGGCAACCCUGAGUAGAGUGGCGAACGGGUGAGUAAUGUAUCGGAACGUACCCAGUAGUGGGGGAUAGCCCGGCGAAAGCCGGAUUAAUACCGCAUACGACCUACGGGUGAAAGCGGGGGAUCGCAAGACCUCGCGCUAUUGGAGCGGCCGAUAUCGGAUUAGCUAGUUGGUGGGGUAAAAGCCUACCAAGGCUACGAUCCGUAGCAGGUUUGAGAGAACGACCUGCCACACUGGGACUGAGACACGGCCCAGACUCCUACGGGAGGCAGCAGUGGGGAAUUUUGGACAAUGGGCGAAAGCCUGAUCCAGCCAUGCCGCGUGAGUGAAGAAGG